ACCUACGGGGCGCAGCAGUUAGGAAUAUUGGGCAAUGGAGGAAACUCUGACCCAGCAACGCCGCGUGAAGGAAGAAGGUUUUCGGACUGUAAACUUCUGAUCUGAGGGAAAAAGAAAGUGAUGGUACCUCAGGAGAAAGCCACGGCUAACUACGUGCCAGCAGCCGCGGUAAUACGUAGGUGGCGAGCGUUGUCCGGAAUGACUGGGCGUAAAGGGAGCGUAGGUUGCAAUUUAAGUUAGGUGUGAAAGCCCGUGGCUCAACCACGGAAGUGCAUCUAACACUGGAUAGCUAGAGUACAGGAGGG
rnacentral:rRNA from 1 species